UACGAAGGGGGCUAGCGUUGCUCGGAAUCACUGGGCGUAAAGGGUGCGUAGGCGGGUCUUUAAGGCUGGGGGGAAAUCCUGGAGCUCAACUCCAGAACUGCCUUUGAUACUGAAGAUCUUGAGUCCGGGAGAGGUGAGUGGAACUGCGAGUGUAGAGGUGAAAUUCGUAGAUAUUCGCAAGAACACCAGUGGCGAAGGCGGCUCACUGGCCCGGUACUGACGCUGAGGCACGAAAGCGUGGGGAGCAAACAGG
rnacentral:rRNA from 1 species